AUUGAACGCUGGCGGCAGGCUUAACACAUGCAAGUCGAGCGAGCGGCGGACGGGUGAGCAAUGUAUGGGGUCUGCCCGAUAGAGGGGGAUAACUACUGGAAACGGUAGCUAAUACUGCAUACUAUCGGAUAACCCAUAUGGGAUUAGCUAGUAGGUAAGGGAAUGGCUCACCUAGGCGACGAUCCCUAGCUGGUCUGAGAGGAUGAUCAGCCACACUGGGACUGAGACACGACCCAGACUCCUACGGAGGCAGCAGUGGGGAAUAUUGCACAAUGGGCGCAAGCCUGCUACAGCCAUGCCGAGUGUAUGAGGAGGGCCCUAGGGUUGUAAGGUGCUUUCAGUCGGGAGGCGUUACCGACAGAAGAAGCACCGGCUGACUCCGUGCCAGCAGCCGCGGUAAUUC
rnacentral:rRNA from 1 species